AGCAGCCGCGGUAAUUCCAGCUCCAAUAGCGCAUAUUAAAGUUGUUGCAGUUAAAAAGCUCGUAGUUGAACUUCGGGGUUUACCCAUUGGUCAGGCUUAAUUGUCUGCACUGGUGAGAUGAGUCUCUACCUUCUGAGGAACUUUCAUGCCAUUUAUUUGGUGUGAUGGGAAAUCAGGACUGUUACUUUGAAAAAAUUAGAGUGUUUAAAGCAGGCUAACGUCUGAAUACAUUAGCAUGGAAUAAUGAAAUAGGACGGACUGAUUCUAUUUCGUUGGUUUCUAGGAUCACCGUAAUGAUUAAUAGGGAUAGUUGGGGGCAUUAGUAUUCAAUUGUCAGAGGUGAAAUUCUUGGAUUUAUUGAAGACUAACUACUGCGAAAGCAUUUGCCAAGGAUGUUUUCAUUAAUCAAGAACGAAAGUUAGGGGAUCGAAGGCGAUCAGAUACCGUCGUAGUCUUAACCAUAAACUAUGCCGACUAGGGAUCGGACGAAGUUAAUUUUAUAAUGACGCGUUCGGCACCUUACG
rnacentral:rRNA from 1 species